rnacentral:rRNA from 1 species
CUACGGGAGGCUGCAGUGGGGAAUAUUGGACAAUGGGGGAAACCCUGAUCCAGCAAUGCCGCGUGUGUGAAGAAGGCCUGCGGGUUGUAAAGCACUUUCGGUUGGGAGGACUGCUUCUAGCACUAAUAUUGUUGGAAGUUGACGUUACCUUCAGAAGAAGCACCGGCUAACUCCGUGCCAGCAGCCGCGGUAAUACGGGGGGUGCAAGCGUUAAUCGGAAUUACUGGGCGUAAAGCGCGCGUAGGCGGCUAGAUCAGUCGGGUGUGAAAGCCCCGGGCUUAACCUGGGAACUGCAUCCGAUACUGUCUAGCUUGAGUACAGGAGAGGGGAGUGGAAUUCCACAUGUAGCGGUGAAAUGCGUAGAUAUGUGGAGGAACACCAAUGGCGAAGGCAGCUCUCUGGCCUGAUACUGACGCUGAGGUGCGAAAGCGUGGGGAGCAAACAGGAUUAGAUACCCUUGUAGUC